rnacentral:rRNA from 1 species
UGGGGAAUAUUGCACAAUGGAGGGAACUCUGAUGCAGCGACGCCGCGUGAACGAAGAAGGCUUUCGAGUCGUAAAGUUCUUUUAUAUGGGAAGAUAAUGACGGUACCAUAAGAAGAAGCCCCGGCUAACUACGUGCCAGCAGCCGCGGUAAUACGUAGGGGGCUAGCGUUGUCCGGAAUCACUGGGCGUAAAGGGUUCGCAGGCGGAAAUGCAAGUCAGGUGUAAAAGGCAGUAGCUUAACUACUGUAAGCAUUUGAAACUGCAUAUCUUGAGAAGAGUAGAGGUAAGUGGAAUUUUUAGUGUAGCGGUGAAAUGCGUAGAUAUUAAAGAGAAUACCGGUGGCGAAGGCGACUUACUGGGCUCAUUCUGACGCUGAGGAACGAAAGCGUGGGUAGCAAACAGG